UUUGUCUUUGUUUUUAGGAGGUAAAGCUGGAUAUCAGCAGCAGUCAAGGUGAAGUGAGUGAGGCGGUCCCCUUGUAUUACACCGAACCCCCUCCCCAACCAGCCGAUGGACCCGGCUCACCGUCCUCGUGAGCCCUCUGCAAGUAUCACGGGACUCUGCGAUGAAGCCCGUACCUUUUCCACGUGAAGGUACCGUCUGGGUAGCCUUCGGCAAUGACCGAGGAGUUGCGGCAAGUCAGGGAAAGAGGAGGAGCCAGGGCCCGCUUAAGUUUCAGCAAUGCUGCAUCGCCUUGUCUCCUCUUAACCCAGGUAUGCACUGUGAUGGCAGCGUCAGCCUUGAAGCGCGGCCGAAGCGUGCGCCCCAAGGACCCCGGCCCUCUUAGGAGACGCCAUCUAAGAGAUAACAGCCCAGCAACUGCCGGAACUUCUCAGAUGGCAUGGUGGCCUUCUUUCUCACCUGACACAGAUUUGCAUCCCUGGAUGUCCGAGAGAUAAGUCGAGGGCUACGCCUCACAGAGGGGAUGUGAGCGAGGUGCCGGGUCAAGACUCACCAGUAGGGAUUUUUGAAUUAGCUCUGGAGAUGGGGAUGUCCAAGAAAGGGCCCCUUAGGCCAAAAAAUGGGAAAGUCUCACUUCUGAUCACAAUGCUGAGGUGUGCAGUGCCAAGCAGUCCCAGUGUGUGUUGCAUCACUUGUCUAUGCUGCAUUCUGUGUCUUUUGGGCAUUUUACAUUGCACGUCUUUUGCCUUAGCCCUUUGAAGUGCUUGCAGUCAUUCUUCUUGCAGAGUGUUUUCUCUCUUUGUUGCACCCCCUUGUUUGUCAUCUCCUGUGUCACAGGGGCCUGCAUGGGUUUGGUCCAGAGCUGCUCUGCCCUGCCGCAUAGUCUGGUGUAUAGAUGUGAUAGGGCAAAGUGUGGGGACUUGUAAUUUGUAAUGUAGGGUGUAGCUGGACUCUAAAUGGUAUUCCUAGAUUGACACAAGAUGUCUGGAGCCAUUAAGUUAUCAUGCAGCACUUUGGCUUUUGUCAUAACUUUCUUUCAGAUGCAGACAGAUUAAAUCUGUGGCAGAGCACCCCAUACUGGGUGAGGGGGUUCCCACAGGAAGGAGGUAAAGCCAGAUAUUGAUGUUCAAGGUCGAUGGAGCGAGGUGAAUGGUGACUGAUGGACAGAAUGAGUUGGUAUUGCUCCAGUAUCAAUGUCUGGUUCAGCUGUUAGCAUUCACUGUUGUUUGUUCCUUUUCAGCCGUCCACUCGUAAGAUGUCCUGGCCCAGAGUGCCAGAGGUCAGGUGCUGCCGCUGCCCUAGGUGUGCCAAGGAACAGAGGCGAGCAGGUACCGUGAGCCGGUGUGGAGCCGAAGUUUGGAAAGAGCCACCUCCAAAGCGGACUACAGGGAAUGUACCAAUGUCCACAGUGCCCACGUGUUCUUUUCUGUCAAGGAUGGAUUUUGUCCACUUAUCUCUGAAAGCUAAGUGUUGGGACUGGUGGUCUGGAGAAGGGAAAAACCUUUGGAGUCACAGGAGACAAUUUGAAGUCAGCUUAGAGGAGAGGGCUGUAGUGGGACGGGCCCCUUGGAAGUAAAGGGAGAGGGUUUCUCCUCAGCAUUACCCGACCCUUUGCUGGGCAGAGCAGUUCCAUACUCGCGUUUUUGCGAGCUUUGUAUCAUCUGCCCUCUUUGAGUCUCGAUGUCAUCGUGGAUCUUUUCCGCCUGAGGAGCCCGCCUUCGGGUCCGGAGCGGUUGCCUGGCAGUCAUCGCCUCUUUCUCUAGGCCUACUGAGCUUCUCGAGCAUCCUCUUAACAGCUUUGGCACUAACUUCUCGUAAGGAGUUAUGUUUCACUGUCAUGUGCUAUUGCCAUAGAGCCUUCUUUCCUUUGGCGUCAUCGCUUUCUGGGUCAUCUUGCAGCAGGAAUCUUGGGUCCGUCAGGUGAAACUACUGGGCAGUUUUAACUUCUCUCUGUGUUAUGUAGUUUGUGUCUGUUAUGUAGUUUGUGUCCAUCCUCUUCUGUGUCAUAGGGCUUUGUUAUGUCUUGAUGCUUUAUGGGGAUUGUUCUGGGCUGUAUUGGCAGCAGGGGGUCUCUGCUUGGGUACUUUCUCAGAUCGGGCUUAUGCUGGCAUCUUUACAUUUUUACUUUUUGAGACCAGAGGAAGUACAGGAGAUGUUCUCAUCCAUCUUCCUUCUCACUCUUGGUAGUGCCUUCUUUUCAUGUCCCAUUCCCUUGGACUUCUAUAAGGAGUGUAUUAGACCCUCCUCACAUGACCGCGGUAGUGCCGUAGGUUCCGUCGCCUUAAAGCGUAUUGGGCUCGAGAAUUAAUCCUCUGGAGAGUUAUCUCAAGCCCUCGCGUCAUCUUUGCUUAUAUUCAGCGCACCACCUUGUCCAUGUGCUAUUUAUGGUUGGAGCUGCCCUGCCCCAGCAGGGUUAUGGUUAAGAAGAACAGUUAAAAAACUUAAAGGUUCAUAUCUUUUCUAUGGGAUUUUGGGUAAAAAAUUUAUGGGUCCAGCAUGGGGAUAACUCCUAGCCCUUGGCCCCUCACUGACUGCCUCACAUCGUCUCGCAGGUCUCCAAGGCGGCUUUGGCUCUCCACAGCCACAGACGCUACCGAUUUUCCCAGAAUCUACCAUUUGAUGCUGAUGAGCAGCAGCUGGAAGAUGGGUUGAAGCAUCUUCAUCAGUAGAGUGUUUUGAGUUUUUCAACACAUUUUUAAACUUAGAAUAAAAAACCCCAGCUGGGUUGUUCUGGUUUAUUUUCCCCUCCGCCUGGGCUUUUUUCCUUUGGUCCCGGCCAGUUUGCGAGGCGAUGUUCAUCGCCAAGGUUUGGGUGUGGACUGUGCCGACACCGGGGUUUCGUCAGGCAGGACAACUUGGAGGCUCCCGGGAACCACAAUCCCAUGGAGCGGUUGAGAUGAGAACGAGGGUGGGCCUGUGUGUAAGCUAAAGGAGGUGUGGGUGGUGGAUGAGUGUUAUGUUCUCCACAUGUUGCUGUUGUUUUGGGUUUCCUAUAACAAUAAAAGAAAAUGUAAUAAACUUUCCAGAAAUAGAAAAAUUGUUUUAUUGUAUUGAUAUGUAUUUGGCUUGCAUUGCCCUGUAUUGUUCUGUAUUUGUGUUUGCCACUGAAUUUCCAUGUAUUGCUCUGUAUGUAAAUUGGACUUUUACCAGCAUGUAUACGGAUUGUAUUUGUACUUGUGU